rnacentral:misc_RNA from 1 species
UGAACGCACAUUGCGCCCAUUGGUAUUCCGAUGGGCAUGCCUGUUCGAGCGUCAUUAUCAACCCUCAAGCCCCCCGGCUUGGUGUUGGAGGCCAGGUCUCGGUGCCCCCGAGACCGCUCCCAAAGACAAUGACGGCGGCCACGAGCGACCCCCGGCACACUGAGCUUUUAACCGAGCACGUGCUGGAUGGGCCUCGGGGUCACGGUCUGCCUCCCCUCAGGGAGAAUAACUUUUUAUCAAGGUUGACCUCGGAUCAGGUAGGGAUACCCGCUGAACUUAA